rnacentral:rRNA from 1 species
AGCUCCAAUAGCGUAUAUUAAAGUUGUUGCGGUUAAAAAGCUCGUAGUUGGAUUUCUGUUGAAGACAGCCGGUCCAUGUUUUGCAUGUGAAUCGGUUCGGCUUCGGCAUCCUCUUGAGAGCGUUGCUAUGCUUAAUUGCGUGGCUCUGUUUUCAAGACUUUUACUUUGAGGAAAUUAGAGUGUUCACGGCAGGCUUUCGCCCUGAAUACAUUAGCAUGGAAUAAUACUAUAGGACCUCGGUUCUAUUUUGUUGGUUUCUAGAGCUGAGGUAAUGAUUAAUAGGGAUAAUUGGGGGCAUUCGUAUUAACACGUCAGAGGUGAAAUUCUUGGAUUGUGUUACGACGAACUACUGCGAAAGCAUUUGCCAAGGAUGUUUUCA